UAAUAGCGUAUAUUAAAGUUGUUGCAGUUAAAAAGCUCGUAGUCGGAUGUCGGGCUCGGAGAGGCUGUCGGCCUUUGGUCGGACGGCAACUCCGGGCCUUUCUGCCUGGGGAUCCUACUCUGCUUAACCGCAGGGUAGUGGGACGCAGGCCGUUUACUUUGAAAAAAUUAGAGUGUUCAAAGCAGGCCUACGCUUGAAUACAUUAGCAUGGAAUAAUGGAAUAGGACUUUGGUCUUAUUUGUUGGUUUAUGGGACCGAAGUAAUGAUUAACAGGGACAGUUGGGGCCGUUUAUAUUUCGUUGUCAGAGGUGAAAUUCUUGGAUUUACGAAAGAUAAACUUCUGCGAAAGCAUUCGGCAAGGAUGUUUUCAUUGA
rnacentral:rRNA from 1 species